UACGGAGGGUGCAAGCGUUAUCCGGAUUCACUGGGUUUAAAGGGUGCGUAGGUGGGUCUGUAAGUCAGUGGUGAAAUCUCCGGGCUUAACCCGGAAACUGCCAUUGAUACUAUAGGUCUUGAAUUAUCUGGAGGUAAGCGGAAUAUGUCAUGUAGCGGUGAAAUGCUUAGAUAUGACAUAGAACACCAAUUGCGAAGGCAGCUUACUACGGAUUGAUUGACACUGAGGCACGAAAGCGUAGGGAUCAAACAGG
rnacentral:rRNA from 1 species